UACGUAGGGACCAAGCGUUGUUCGGAUUUACUGGGCGUAAAGGGCGCGUAGGCGGCUUAACAAGUCACUUGUGAAAUCUCCGGGCUUAACUCGGAACGGCCAAGUGAUACUGUCAAGCUAGAGUGCAGAAAGGGCAAUCGGAAUUCUUGGUGUAGCGGUGAAAUGCGUAGAUAUCAAGAGGAACACCUGAGGCGAAGGCGGGUUGCUAGGCUGACACUGACGCUGAAGCGCGAAAGCCAGGGGAGCAAACGGG
rnacentral:rRNA from 1 species